CCUGGACUGAAUGCAUGCAUGUUGUCCCGUUACACCACUGUCUCAGGUUAGGGGAGGGUUUGGAUCCCGCUAUCAUGUUUAACCAUGUCACAUCCUGUAUCUAUGAGCCUGUCCCAAGUCAGAAGCCUGUAAUUGAGUGGUUGUCGUUUGUUGAAAUUAUGCGGUUGUUUUAUCUGUUCGUUGAUGUAUUGUCUUAGCUCCCUGUUCAGUUGUGCUGCAUCAACACUACCAAUCAUCGUUGCAUUUAAAUGGUCAGGUAGGGCAACCAUAUGUGCAAUUUGGAUAACCAACAAAGUAGCUAGUAAAAUUUUGGUGUUCAUGUUAU
rnacentral:lncRNA from 1 species